CCCAGUAGUCUGUCUCUUGGUUUUAUAUCUCCAGGGAGCUCAACCGACUUCCCUUAUCCCCUCUAGUUACGGUCUCCUCUGUGGCUGGCAAUGGCACCCAUGUCUAUGGAGUUACUUGGCAUAUUUCAAACGUCUGCUGUCCUCCAGGUAAACGAAUAUGAAUUUCAAGCUCCCGAAAUAUACAUUUGAAUGUAUUUCUCUCUUCUCCAACCUGAAAGCCCCAGAGUGGUUCAAAUGGCCAAAUGGCCCUCAGCUCAGUCCCGAGGAACCUGGUCCCAGUUUCUCUACAGAAGGCAUCAUUCACUGGAAAGAACUAGCCCAUUGGGAUGAGGGCUAAAGACCUACAGUUCCUCACUGCAGGGCCAACUGAUUUUGGGGAACAACUGUCCACACCACAAGGACCUCGCCUCAUUCAGAGUCCUAGAUUAGCAAGAGAGAGAACACAAGCAGGGGGAGCG